rnacentral:rRNA from 1 species
GACGAACGCUGGCGGCGUGCUUAACACAUGCAAGUCGAACGGUAAGGCCCUUCGGGGUACACGAGUGGCGAACGGGUGAGUAACACGUGGGUGAUCUGCCCUGCACUUCGGGAUAAGCCUGGGAAACUGGGUCUAAUACCGGAUAGGACUCCGGACUGCAUGGUCUGGGGUGGAAAGCCUUUGCGGUGUGGGAUGGGCCCGGGGCCUAUCAGCUUGUUGGUGGGGUGAUGGCCUACCAAGGCGACGACGGGUAGCCGGCCGGGGAGGGGGACCGGCCACACUGGGACUGAGAUACGGCCCAGACUCCUACGGGAGGCAGCAGUGGGGAAUAUUGCACAAUGGGCGCAAGCCUGAUGCAGCGACGCCGCGUGAGGGAUGACGGCCUUCGGGUUGUAAACCUCUUUCAGCAUCGACGAAGCGAAAGUGACGGUAGGUGCAGAAGAAGGACCGGCCAACUACGUGCCAGCCGCCGCAGUAA